AAAUUGAAGAGUUUGAUCAUGGCUCAGAUUGAACGCUGGCGGCAGGCCUAACACAUGCAAGUCGAGCGGAAACGACAYUAACAAUCCUUCGGGUGCGUUAAUGGGCGUCGAGCGGCGGACGGGUGAGUAAUGCCUAGGAAAUUGCCUUGAUGUGGGGGAUAACCAUUGGAAACGAUGGCUAAUACCGCAUGAUGCCUACGGGCCAAAGAGGGGGACCUUCGGGCCUCUCGCGUCAAGAUAUGCCUAGGUGGGAUUAGCUAGUUGGUGAGGUAAUGGCUCACCAAGGCGACGAUCCCGGGUUGUAAAGUACUUUCAGUUGUGAGGAAGGGUGUGUAGUUAAUAGCUGCGCAUCUUGACGUUAGCAACAGAAGAAGCACCGGCUAACUCCGUGCCAGCAGCCGCGGUAAUACGGAGGGUGCGAGCGUUAAUCGGAAUUACUGGGCGUAAAGCGCAUGCAGGUGGUUCAUUAAGUCAGAUGUGAAAGCCCGGGGCUCAACCUCGGAACUGCAUUUGAAACUGGUGAACUAGAGUACUGUAGAGGGGGGUAGAAUUUCAGGUGUAGCGGUGAAAUGCGUAGAGAUCUGAAGGAAUACCAGUGGCGAAGGCGGCCCCCUGGACAGAUACUGACACUCAGAUGCGAAAGCGUGGGGAGCAAACAGGAUUAGAUACCCUGGUAGUCCACGCCGUAAACGAUGUCUACUUGGAGGUUGUGGCCUUGAGCCGUGGCUUUCGGAGCUAACGCGUUAAGUAGACCGCCUGGGGAGUACGGUCGCAAGAUUAAAACUCAAAUGAAUUGACGGGGGCCCGCACAAGCGGUGGAGCAUGUGGUUUAAUUCGAUGCAACGCGAAGAACCUUACCUACUCUUGACAUCCAGAGAAGCCAGCGGAGACGCAGGUGUGCCUUCGGGARCUCUGAGACAGGUGCUGCAUGGCUGUCGUCAGCUCGUGUUGUGAAAUGUUGGGUUAAGUCCCGCAACGAGCGCAACCCUUAUCCUUGUUUGCCAGCGAGUCAUGUCGGGAACUCCAGGGAGACUGCCGGUGAUAAACCGGAGGAAGGUGGGGACGACGUCAAGUCAUCAUGGCCCUUACGAGUAGGGCUACACACGUGCUACAAUGGCGCAUACAGAGGGCAGCAAGCUAGCGAUAGUGAGCGAAUCCCAAAAAGUGCGUCGUAGUCCGGAUUGGAGUCUGCAACUCGACUCCAUGAAGUCGGAAUCGCUAGUAAUCGUGAAUCAGAAUGUCACGGUGAAUACGUUCCCGGGCCUUGUACACACCGCCCGUCACACCAUGGGAGUGGGCUGCAAAAGAAGUGGGUAGUUUAACCUUUCGRGGAGGACGCUCACCACUUUGUGGUUCAUGACUGGGGUGA
rnacentral:rRNA from 1 species